AGUAGGGAAUAUUGCUCAAUGGGGGAAACCCUGAAGCAGCAACGCCGCGUGGAGGAUGACACUUUUCGGAGCGUAAACUCCUUUUGUUAGGGAAGAACAAUGACGGUACCUAACGAAUAAGCACCGGCUAACUCCGUGCCAGCAGCCGCGGUAAUACGGAGGGUGCAAGCGUUACUCGGAAUCACUGGGCGUAAAGGACGCGUAGGCGGAUUAUCAAGUCUCUUGUGAAAUCCUAUGGCUUAACCAUAGAACUGCUUGGGAAACUGAUAAUCUAGAGUGAGGGAGAGGCAGAUGGAAUUGGUGGUGUAGGGGUAAAAUCCGUAGAGAUCACCAGGAAUACCCAUUGCGAAGGCGAUCUGCUGGAACUCAACUGACGCUAAUGCGUGAAAGCGUGGGGAGCAAACAGGAUUA
rnacentral:rRNA from 1 species